AAGUCUGACAGGCUUGAAGAAGUCUGGGCAUUAUUUGGACAAAGCCCUCAGGCACAGGGUGUGAUUCUUGGGGAUGUCCUGUCCAGGGCCAGGAUCUGGACUUGAUGAUCCUGAUGGGUCCCUUGAGCUCAGCACAUUCUGUGAUUCUGUUGGAAUACAGUCAGUGGUAAAUUGGACAAGUUAGGGCACAGGUAGAUUUAGUGCAAGCAGUAGAGAGGCCCUGAAGACUCAGGGAUAACAGAGAACACAGCAGUCAUUUGCUACACACCUAAUGCAAAUGCUAGAAUGGGUCUGUUGCAACAACUCCACCUAUUCAAUCAUUUGAAUAAUUUGAGGCAUUUGGCUUCCUUACCCUUUCAGAAGCAGUCUGAGUGCUGCUUUUGCUGACAGCCAUUCAUUCACGUGUCUCUUCAGGACAGCUCAUGAAUCUGCUUGCACCUCCUUAGCUCCCAGGCCACCUCUUCUCUCAUGCUCCUUCCUCCCUUUGAAAUUCUCUUAUUGGAGGCCCAAAGAUGGCAGUCUCCUGCCCCAGACCACCUGGGGAAAAUGGUCUUUACUGAAAUGGAAGAUAUCUGCCAGUUCCCUUCUGAGAUGCUUCCUUGAUUGGCUGCCUGCAGGGAGCCCAAGGCAGCUCUGAGCCCCAGAUUGCUCAGUUGUUUGGGGCUGUCCCAGCGGACAGCAUCCCUUGGAAGGCCACAGGGAGGUGUGUGUGUUUUGCUCAGAUCCUGAACAGCCAAAGGGGCUCCUCACGUUGCAAGGCAGCAGCCAGGUGCCACAAGGAACCAGCUCUCAGGUAAGCCCUGGGCUACAGCUUCUGCAGCAAAGCUGCAUUCAUGUAUCCUUUGCAAAGGAAUGAAUUAAAAUUGUUCUUGUAAUGAUUUUAGUGGGAUUUUGAAUUGCUUUUGUAACAUUAAAAAAGAGACAAUGCUACUCUUUUG
rnacentral:lncRNA from 1 species